CUUAUAAAACGAGUGUUUUUGCAUUGAGAAUAAUGUCAAGGUGAGUUCAAUAUGCAUAUUUUAUAUAUAGUUAAUUUCUUUGUGCGAAUUCCAAUAGUACUUAUAUACAUAUGUGUCCGUGUGUCCGUCCGUCUGUCCUUUAAUAAUCGAAGAUUAUUUGCGCUAAAGAAGCAUUCGCAGCAUUAAAAACUGUUCCGGUAAUCGAGGCUUGUUUAUAAAAUGAACCCCCAUCAUAAAACUUAACCGGAUUAACCAGAAAACAUGACUUGGCAGCCAUGUUAAAGGGUGCAUUCAGCUACAACUUUGGCUCUCAUCUCUUUCAUGUACAGCAUAAAUGCGUUCAGAGGUUUCUUGAUAUGUGGCUUCUUUUUAUCAUUUGAACUAUCUUUACAGUCGUUUGCUUGCGAAUUUGAUGAGCUUUUGGUAUCCAAGUUUCUGAAAUUAAUCAACAAGCAGAAGUAUAAUCAUUCUCCAUUCACAAACAAAAAUAAUGUACAAUUUAUUGAUAACAAAUAAAAACUAUAAUUCAAAUAUUCUUGCAGCAGAUAUAAAAA